GAUGAACGCUGGCGGCGUGCCUAAUACAUGCAAGUCGAGCGAACAGACGAGGAGCUUGCUCCUCUGACGUUAGCGGCGGACGGGUGAGUAACACGUGGAUAACCUACCUAUAAGACUGGGAUAACUUCGGGAAACCGGAGCUAAUACCGGAUAAUAUCUUGAACCGCAUGGUUCAAUAGUGAAAGACGGUUUUGCUGUCACUUAUAGAUGGAUCCGCGCCGCAUUAGCUAGUUGGUUAGGUAACGGCUUACCAAGGCAACGAUGCGUAGCCGAUCUGAGAGGGUGAUCGGCCACACUGGAACUGAGACACGGUCCAGACUCCUACGGGAGGCAGCAGUAGGGAAUCUUCCGCAAUGGGCGAAAGCCUGACGGAGCAACGCCGCGUGAGUGAUGAAGGUCUUCGGAUCGUAAAACUCUGUUAUUAGGGAAGAACAAAUGUGUAAGUAACUAUGCACGUCUUGACGGUACCUAAUCAGAAAGCCCCGGCUAACUACGUG
rnacentral:rRNA from 1 species